AACGUAGGAGACAAGCGUUAUCCGGAGUUACUGGGCGUAAAGGGCGUGCAGGCGGCCUGUUAAGUCUGUUGUGAAAGCACCCGGCUAAACUGGGUGAGGUCAAUGGAUACUGGCGGGCUAGAGGGCGGUAGAGGCGUGUGGAAUUCCGGGUGUAGUGGUGAAAUGCGUAGAUAUCCGGAGGAACACCAGUGGCGAAGGCGACACGCUGGGCCGCACCUGACGCUAAGACGCGACAGCAUGGGGAGCGAACGGG
rnacentral:rRNA from 1 species